rnacentral:lncRNA from 1 species
ACCAUUGCUUCAAGUGGGUAUCUCAGUUGAACGGGAGGGAAAAGGUGACAGACAGAAAGGAACAGACAUUACACAGUGGGCUCUCCAGCCCACCAGCUGAGAGGGGCUUUCUGGUUAGUGAUGAUCAACUUCAGGUGGCACUGGUUUAGAGGAGACAUUUUUAAGGGACAAAGUUUCCACCACAAAAGCUUUCAACGGAAGAGCCGAUCUAAUUGUGACCAUGAAGCCAGCUGAUGGGUGACCACACAAACCCUUCCCCGGGAGGCAUUUGCUGUUGACACAGGCUCCUUAUUUCUGCCGCUUCAUACGGGAGAAAAAAAAAGAGUGGGACUUUGAUUUGUCUAAGCAGUUGGUAUGAUUCACAGAGAGAUAAAUCAUCACAGGAGAUGGUUAGCAGUGUAUGGUUCUCGGCUUCAACGCAUUGUUUAUUAUAAAACAUGCACCUGGGUUUAUAUUUUUCUGCCUGGUUAUAAAGCAAUAACAUCUUGCUAUGCAAACACUAAAUUUCAUGUGUGAAUUUUCAACUGUGAUUUUAUGUGUGCAUUUUUUAAACUAAACUCUAUCAUUUUUCUAUGUUGACAUCUGUUGUUGGUUUGGUUUUGUUUUGUUUUUAAUCUGUUUCCAACUAUCUGAGUCUGUGAACCAUCUCUCCUGACUGGAUGCUGGCUUGAAACCUGUUAGUGCUUAAACAGACUCAGAAACAACCCUGGACCUCUGGGGCAAACGCAGGGGUGUUACUCUUUGAUAUAUCAUGGGCCCUCUGUGGCUUCAACAAACAAAGUCAUAAUUCCUCUAAAUUCUGUGUUUUCUGUAAAUAUUUUCUUCUUCUCAGCUCUGCUAAAAUGGGGGUGGGGGGGGGGGGGGAGAGAGAGAAACUCCUAUCCCAGACUUUAGACCAAAAGGGGUUGUUAGAGAGUAUGGACUCUGGCAUUUCUGCAUUUGAAGAUGAGGAAGCCUUUCCAGAAUUGGGGGUACAGAGGCUUUCUCUGUGCUUCCUGGGAGGUCAGCAAGAGGGUUGAACAGAAACCUGAAGCUUCCUGAUGCCAGAGCUCUUGAGCCCACCUCUCCCCCAGCACCUUGUGGACGUGUGUAAAUUCAUGACACCCACUGUAAUGCCUCCCAAGAUCUUCACUGUGGGAGGCAUGGGAGGUGAUCCCAUGAUGGGCUCCUGCCACAAAAUCUUCCAAACCUUUUAAGUCUGAUUCCUGCUGGAGAAGUUAGAGUCCCUCUUUCAUUUUCAUACCCUCUUACUCUGCUGUGAGUGCCACAUUCAGCUGAGCACCACCUGCUUCCUAAGACGUAACCAGUGUGCUGGGGAGAUGGCUCAGUUGAUAAAGUGCCUGCAGUGUAAGUGUGAGGACCUGAAUUCAGGUUCCAGCAUCUGUGUAAGAGCCAGGCAGGAACUUAAGUGCAAGGCGGGGCAGGGGUGGGGAUAGGUUCAUUGACCAACCAGUCUUAAGAAUGAAGUGGUACCCAGGCUCAUUGAGAGAUCCUGUCUCAAAAAAUAAAAAUGGACAGAGAUCUAGGGAUGCACCCAACAUCUGCCGCAACCUCCCAAGUCAUAUGCGUGUGCACAGAAAUCCCCAGAUCUUUCUUCUCCCCUGAAAUGCAAAGGUACAUUUAAACUAUCCAUCCUCUUUCUUGCCCGUCUUUUGGCAGUGAGCCCUGCCAUAACAUAAGAUCCAGUGAGGAGCAGUUCAGCCAGGUUGGACAGUGAUCCAUUCUGUUCAUCCUUGUUUGUAAUAAGCAGAAUUUAUCCUGUAAGGCAAGGGGUGGUGAUAGCCAUAAUUUUUGUCGGCUGGGCUUUUUUCAAAGUGUCCUUGAAUUCAGCAAGCAAACCUUCUUUGAGAAAGCUCUCUAAACUUAGUCUCUCUCCAUUUGGCUGGAAAUAAUGGAUGGCCACAUCCAAACUCCAAAUUUCUGGAUGUGUCAUAUGCCUCAGCACUACAGAAUCUGACUCUCUCUUUGAGUAUAGACAUGCGUGUUAACUAUGCACAGGGCUGUUUAACAGAUGGCUCCAAUCCCUGCUCCAUACUUGGGAGCCUUUGGUUCCAUCUUUAUACCAAAUGCCAAUCACACUGGCUACAGAGAGUGUAUUAUAGUCUGUGUCUAAGCUUAGAAGCUUUAAAUGUAUGUUUUAAAGAAAAAAUACUAGAGUGGGUUGAACACUUUAACUAAACUUGGAAGGUUGGACAGAUUAUGUGCAAAGAUGAUUGUUUGUUUAAUAAUGAAUAAUCUGAAUCCUGUAUAACUUAUUUGCACACCUUUCUUGCAUGAUGAACUGACAUUUUUAUAGUUGUUUGUAUAAGACAGUGGCAUAUUUUUGUAAACAUUUUUUUGACACUGAACUUCAAUAAAUGUUUUUCCUAC